UUUCUGGUAAUCUAAAAAAGAUUAUAAACUGUAAAUUUAUCCAUGGUCCAACCUCAGAAGC
rnacentral:tRNA from 1 species